rnacentral:rRNA from 1 species
UACAGAGGUCUCAACCGUUGUUCGGAUUCAUUGGGCGUAAAGGGUGCGUAGGCGGCUGGGCAAGUCAGGUGUGAAAUCUCGGGGCUCAACCCCGAAACUGCACUUGAUACUGCCUUGCUCGAGUACUGGAGAGGAGACUGGAAUUUACGGUGUAGCAGUGAAAUGCGUAGAUAUCGUAAGGAAGACCAGUGGCGAAGGCGGGUCUCUGGACAGUUACUGACGCUGAGACACGAAAGCGAGGGGAGCAAACAGG